AGAAGAAAAAUAUAAGGUGACUUGCAAAUACCCAUGGGCAGUGUAUCUGGCCAUUUUAAUUUAUCUAUUUGCAUCAACAGCACUAUAAUUAUGUUUCUUCUUCUAUACUAAUUGUUAGAACCUAUUUGAAUACUGCAGUAUAACAAAAUACCAUAUCAUCCCCCAACAUUUCUGAUAAAGAUCAGAAAAUGAAUAUUGCGUACAUUUCCAUACUUUUCAUUUUGUGCAUUCCUCUGAUUUGCUACGUAUGCACAAAAUUGUUGUUUUAUUAUAUUAUGUGCAAGCU